rnacentral:rRNA from 1 species
GAUGAACGCUGGCGGCGUGCCUAAUACAUGCAAGUCGAGCGAACAGACGAGGAGCUUGCUCCUCUGACGUUAGCGGCGGACGGGUGAGUAACACGUGGAUAACCUACCUAUAAGACUGGGAUAACUUCGGGAAACCGGAGCUAAUACCGGAUAAUAUAUUGAACCGCAUGGUUCAAUAGUGAAAGACGGUUUUGCUGUCACUUAUAGAUGGAUCCGCGCCGCAUUAGCUAGUUGGUAAGGUAACGGCUUACCAAGGCGACGAUGCGUAGACGACCUGAGAGGGUGAUCGGCCACACGAGAACGUAGACACGGUCCAGACUCCUGCGGGAGGCAGCAGUAGGGAAUCUUCCGCAAUGGGCGAAAGCCUGACGGAGCAACGCCGCGUGAGUUAUGAAGGUCUUCGGAGCGUAAAACUCUGUUAUGAGGGAAGAACAAAUGUGUAAGUAACUAUGCACGUCUUGACGGUACCUAAUCAGAAAGCCACGGCUAACUACGUG